UUUAAGAAUCAACAGCCAUUGAUCUUCCAUUGUUUAUUUUGUUAUGUUAUAUCAGCAACAGCUCAAUAACCGUUGUAUUUAAGGAGUGGAACGUGCAAUUUCCUGUAAGUCAGACUGCCUCGUGGUCUCAGCAGACCAAAAAAAAAGGCGUUGCCCCGGUGGAAAGCGAGGGAGAUGCGCUGGAACAUUCACACUGACAUCUCUGCCCCAGGGAUAUGGUCCGAGGGCCAAAAACACCGGAGGUCUCUACUGCCGAAGGCUUGACCAUAAAGCUGUUGGAGAGUAAAGAUCUGUAAUUUCUUUUGGGUGUUUCUGGUGGAACAUGUCAGGAGGAAGAUUAUUAUAAAAAAUAUCGUUUACAUGUUGUCUAUUCAUCGUUUUUCGGGGGUGGGGGCAGUUUUACAAAUCAAAUUAUUGUAUCUACUUCUAUUUUGGCUUUCCAUAAACUCCAUAUAAAAAGAGUGGAUUCUGUGUGUGUGCAACAGAGUUGCAUACAAAAAUUUCAGAAUCCUGAAUAUAUCCAUGAUGUUCUGAGGUACAUUCUAUUUGAUGGCCUCACUUGUGGUUAUUCCGGUGACAUAUAGACGUUGAAUAGUUAUUACUUCCAAAGAAAAACCAUACACUGGAUAUCUUGUAUAACAAUUGUUGUAUUCAAAAUAAAAUGCAAAAUGGAUUAUUUUGUAGUAAUACUUCAUCACAUGAAACUAUUUUCUGCUCUUAGUGGCUCCUUGUUUAUAUUUAUAUGCAAACAUUUUAAUUAUUGUUUCCAAAUAAAAUCUCAGUUCAGGUUAUUGCGCUUUGCAGAUUGCGGACGCCUUUAGACAUGACUCCGUGAAAGAGAUGGAUUACAAAAAAUGCGCAGAGUUUCAAUGAUGAUCCAAACACUGUGCGAUUUCGAUUUGAAACUCAGCUGAAAAGUCAAGAAAGAUGAAGAACAGAACAGGCUUGCUGA